CUCUGUGACUCCUACGGGGAGGCAGCAGUGGGGAAUAUUGCACAAUGGGGGAAACCCUGAUGCAGCCAUGCCGCGUGUGUGAAGAAGGCCUUCGGGGUUGUAAAGCACUUUCAGUAGGGAGGAAGGUAGUGUAGUUAACACCUGCAUUAUUUGACGUUACCUACAGAAGAAGCACCGGCUAACUCCGUGCCAGCAGCCGCGGUAAUACGGAGGGUGCGAGCGUUAAUCGGAAUUACUGGGCGUAAAGCGCAUGCAGGCGGCCUGUUAAGUCAGAUGUGAAAGCCCGGGGCUUAACCUCGGAAUUGCAUUUGAAACUGGCAGGCUAGAGUCUUGUAGAGGGGGGUAGGAAUUUCAGGUGUAGCGGUGAAAUGCGUAGAGAUCUGAAGGAAUACCAGUGGCGAAGGCGGCCCCCUGGACAAAGACUGACGCUCAGAUGCGAAAGCGUGGGGAGCAAACAGGAUUAGAUACCCUGGUAG
rnacentral:rRNA from 1 species